CUUAGUGGCGAACGGGUGAGUAACGCGUGAGUAACCUGCCCUGGAGUGGGGGACAACAGUUGGAAACGACUGCUAAUACCGCAUAAGCCCACGGCCCGGCAUCGGGCUGAGGGAAAAGGAUUUAUUCGCUUCAGGAUGGACUCGCGUCCAAUUAGCUAGUUGGUGAGGUAACGGCCCACCAAGGCGACGAUUGGUAGCCGGACUGAGAGGUUGAACGGCCACAUUGGGGCUGAGACACGGCCCAG
rnacentral:rRNA from 1 species